rnacentral:tRNA from 1 species
GGCUCAUGGUUCAGUGGCAGGGCACCUGCUUUGCAUGCAGAAGGUCCCUGGUGCAAUCCCAAACAUCUCCA